CACAGCUGCAGGCAGACAUCAUUUCACAUUGAAUAGCCAAAAGUUAGACAUCGUUCUUACAGUUUUAUCUGGUUCUCUGAGUGUUAACAGUAGAAAGUGCACUUCAUUUUUUGAACAAAAUGGGUCGAGACCUUCAUGGAGUUGGCAAAGCAUUCAAUAUAGCACCAUUAUGCCAUCGAUACUAGUGAUUUCGUGUUGAAAAACGAAGCGAAAAGUGCGAUCAUCAUCCAAAAAACGCCGCGACGUAAAAGGCAAAGCAAUGCAUUGAUCUGAUAAUUUCGUUGAUAUACGUUAUUAGAUCAUUUUUGCGAAUGAAAAUUUACCUGAAAUGUUAGCUGGCAAAGUUUUCACUAUGCUGUCGAGUAACAAACUAAAGCAGAAGACAUAUGUCGUAAAGACAUAAUAAAUCUCGAUUGUUGUUAAGAGAUGUACGACUCGUUCUUCAGUCAAUUAACUCGUGCAUAAUGACUGCAAAUAGUAAGCUGUCCAAUCGAUGGCUAUUUCACAAUCGCUCACAGAAUGUACACCCCGGUGCGAACAAAUCUGAUUGCGAAGGAAAUGAUAGGAAACAAAAAAGCUACCUGCGACUCUCCCGAUCACCUAAAGCAGAUCACAAAUAAACGUGGGUACCUCAUGGCGGCGCUUUUGUCACGACUGGUUCAAUGACACAACGCCUUCCUUCUGCAUUCGACUUCUGGCAAGAAUUUCAUGCUCGUUACGGCGAAGUUCUAUGAGCUCCCGUCCAUCACACCUGAUCAGCCGAUGAAAUUGGUGCGGAUAAAACUCAACCUCCUCCCAGCUAUAAUAGUUGUACUAGCGGACGACUUUUAAGGCAAACUCAGGUGGAUUUAUGAACGGUGUCCUUUUCGAGAUCGCUCAAGGACUUUCUUUAAAGAGCGGUGUCCGUUAACCGGAUCAGAGUCAAGUAGGUCUUUUAAUUGUCUUUAUUUGAAAAUCUUAGCUUUAAAUGGCCAACCGAAUGUUGCGCUAUGAAAUCAAUAUGUAUUCUUUAUUACAUUCUUUCUCAUUGCUAGAGUGAGAUGUCUGGAAUGAACGUGUGACAAACAAUUUUGGCUGAGGAGUGCAAUCAUAUGUUUUGCCUCGGUUAAUUAAUGCCGGUUAUCCAAUUUGAGACCUUGCGCUGGGUGCGCUUCGUUUUGAGUCGAAAAGUAAUGUUAAGGGACGACCAGCGAGGCCGUCUUUGCAUGACAUGCACUUUGCUGGUGGUCGACCUUUUGUUAUUUAUGUUUGACUUCAAUUGUACUGUGAUUUGGAUAGGGUGGUCGCAAAACAUAUGAUACAGUUACUAGUGAAUCGAGCGGGCACGCCUAUUCCAAUAGCCUUCCGGAUCUUCCCAGCCUCAGUUAUGAACUGCAAACUCCCCGUGAAACGCUGGUUGUCAGUGGCCAUAACAACGUCGUCACCGGCCAUCACCAUGGCUCCCUAGUGCUCCAUAUGACCACAGCCUCCAAGCAUCUACCUAUCUGGGUCUUCCCAUUGGUUAUAGUAUUCAUAGCAUACGUCGUUACCUGACCUCAUCCACGCUGAUCUUAACGAACCACAACAUCCAUCGCAGUCGCGCUCCCAUAACGUGCACGGCUCCUGUGAAACAAAGCCUCAAUGCUCUUUUACGCAAACCGGUACAUCGUCUCAACCAGGACCCGGUGUCUUCCACUGAGCAAAGACAGCACAAAGAACUCCUCAUCUUCAAGAUCACUCACAAAGACUCCAUUGCUCCAGUGUUUACUGUUGUUUAUUUUAGUUCAGCUUUCGCUCUGUCAAAAUUAAAGGCGGUAACGGUAGUACGAGAAGUGAAAAUAUAAACAAUGCACUGCACUUUCACCGAAAAUGAAAAAACCAGCAAAACUCACUUGGAUUGUCUGAGUAAGGCACUUCGAAUUGCCCGAACAGACUAGAAUCACAGUAUUGCCGGUUAGAGAAACACGUAAGCGGCUUACAAACGAUAUUACACAAAAAAAUUGGCAAUUUGAUCAAUAUGUUACAAAAUCAAUGUAACAAAAACAAAACUAAUUCGAACUAGCGCGACGUGUCCGAUGUUUUUAUGCACUUAUUCUUCGCGUUUCGUUCUCUCAUUGCUUCAGCACACAUUUAUUUAACUUAUCGAAGGGCGGAUUUUUAUUUUAUUGUGAACUAUUCGUUUCAGUAUUUUCAAAACUAAAUCAGUGUACAAAGGCGAAACAUACAGGGAACUGUUAAUUGCCUAGCUUUUGGUUACAGCAAACUGACAUAAAGUGAACAGUUACCCAAACGUGAGGAAAACAGAAAAAUAUGAACUGAGACGAAACUACUCAGUUUCGUUAAUCAAUGUUACUCAUUUUUUGACAUUUUAAAUCAAAAUACGGAAGUGAGUACUUUCUUCUUAAUUUAGAGUAAAAUUUAACGAGCGUGCAUAAGCUUUUCGCGAUUUUUACCGCGCCAUUUUUACCACUUUAGCCAGAAAAUCACAAAAUAGGUAGAGCACGAAAUUUAGCUUCUGUAACGAAACACCAGUGCUACCAGAUUUGAAGGUCUUUCGUUAAUCAAUGAAGGUUUCGUUAAUCAAUGAAGGUUCUUCAUUCACUUUGGAUUUUGUACCUUUUUCACUAUUCUAAGUAUGUUUUUUACUAUUAUUGUUACUAUUUGUAGCACUACCAGUCCUAGUAUCCCAUUUAACCACCACGAGUGCUGUUCAUGCGCACUCGUGUGAAAUUCUUGGUUCUCAACGAUGGCGACAGUUUGAUCACCAAUCGUUUUCGCAUUAUCCUCAUUGAAUGAUACACUUCCCAUUUUUUCUGACACUUUCUGUGCGUUAAGAAAUUUUCAAACACGUGCUAACACUUGGUAACGACCUUUAUUCUUCGCCGUCAACUGCUCACUGGUGGCCAUGAAAUAGAUAAUUGUUGGACUGUGAUUGAAUGGAUAACUACUGGACUGUGAUACUCUUCUCUUUCUGAAGUUCAUACAUUGGUGUCUGGUGUAAGACUGUUCUUUAUUUUUCCAACUUUUGUUUCAGGAACUUAAAUUCUACUUAACUCUGCACAAGAAUUAUAUUCAACGGAAUCAAGUAUAUAAUGUAUACAAAGUUAGGUUAUCGUCAUGAGCCGAGUUUACCAAUGACGCGCAACACGCAUAGGUGUUGGUAAACUCCAUAACGUUCGCCCCUUUCGCACGCGCAUCAUGACAACAGCGCGACAGUGGUGCGAAAAAGGUCGCCGUAAAACAAAACAAACAGAACUAGGCCAUCUGAAAAGAAACAAGCUCAAAUGUAAAAAGUUGAAACAUAUUUGAUAUUGGGAACAUAAUAGGGAACCAAAUGCAGUAAACACUUGACUUGUUGUGUUAAUGAAAAAGAAGGUCUAGCGGUUCUGUAAAAUAAGGUUUCACAGUUCGUAAAUUAAGUACCAGGAUCAUAAAGAUCUUACAUUUUAGGCUACAUUUUGGGCGUAGGAAUGUAAAGACUUGGGAACAUUUUAUCACACACUAUUGCUUCACGUAGUUAGGGUUCCAAUCCGAUACUCAAGAAGCGAGCAUCGGCAGCCCUUUUCUGGGUUCGGCGAAAGCGAAACAUAUCGUAAGCGCAGGCUAGUCUACAAAAUAGGUAUCCUGAUUCCAUUCGAAUAUACGGGAGGCGAAGUUACUUGAUCGAGUUCCGCAGGAAUUUGAGAGGAAUAUGGUCCCAGGUGUAUCGUACGCACUGGAUAGUCUAUCGUAAUUGGCGUCCUUAAAUAUUGGUACGUCUUGCUAACGGCAACCAAUUGGGCAGCAGAUCCUUUUCCAUUGCGAUGGUCGGUAUCCGUCACCCUAUAGAAUAUUCCCUUCGCAUCACUCUGCAGCAGAUCUAAAUACUGAGUUACUAAUUCAGAACCGUUUCGAACAACUCUUUCCGUAGUACCUUCGAUGGUCGACGUCGUAGCGACUGCUUUGAUUCUGGUAACGCACAAUCCUGCGGCCCGUCCGGAUGCUUUAGAAAUGUGAUAUUAAUUUUGACAGACCUUCCCGUCUAUCCUCGUCGCCAGUUGUAAUGUUCGGCUUGACUUUUUUUCUUUACACGAUGGCAUGAGGUUUCAAGUUGUCACCACGAAAAAGGAUGGAAUGAUCUUAAAGUCAUUUAUGCAAAAUUUGACAUACGAUGUACAUUUUAUACGUUUUUUUACAUGUGCUAACCUUAAGUUUUAACAAUACAAACAUUUUCAACUUCUAACAUUAAACAAAUUACAUCAACAAAUUACCUAACUGCCCAUGUGGAGAACAAUAACCUCUUAACUUUUCUACCGCAUUAGCCUCAGCAAAUUUCAAGAAUACUUCUGACCCUGCUCCACACGUCAAUUUAAUUUCCCUUAUUUUGCACAACAAUUUAUUCGCAAAAUCGGUGGAACAUUCGUCCUGAUUAAUGGCAAAACUCGACAUUUCAGUGAGCAUUAUAUGGAUUUGCGUUGGAUCUGUUUCGAACUUUUCUAACAAAAUGUGUUUCAACUGUACCCAUGACUUCAACUCGAUACUUGUCAAUUUUUCCUUAACUUCGUCCGACAACUUACAAUGUACAAUUGUCGCAACGAAUAUCAAUCCAUCCGCGAGAGUAGCAAUCUGCUCAUUUUUAUGCAGCGCGUCUAAAACCGCUAUAAAUUAAUUGUGACUUGCGAGUUUGCCAUUAAAUGUUUGUAUGUACUCUAACUUUAAUAUUUCUGACAUUUUCGAUUUAACUUCUAACUUGGGUUCAGAUUUUUCUGAACUCAGUUUCUUUUCAAAAUAUUUUUGGUGAAAUCACUUUUUUAAUUCUCCUAAUGUGAGUAGAGUUAUAAUUCAUUCAAACAACGUUAAAAAUAUUGGAUUUCUACUUAAUUUAGUUUCUACUUAGGUUUAUCCCACUUCUGACACCAAAUUGUGGAACACUUUCUUUUGUUAUAUAAGUGACUGAUUUCCCAGCCGUCUUUUAUGUCUCAAAUCCUUAUUGCUUACCUAUCUUAUUUCUAUACCCACUCAUCUACGUAUUCUUAUCUCCCUGCGCAUAAAAGAUAAGAAAAGGACAGACGGAUUGGGCAUUAAUACGUCUCGCCAUGUAUGCAGACUUACUUUUACACGACUUUAUCCUAAAUAAACAAUGUUCGGACGAUAAUAACAUCCGCACCACAAGACCACCGUUGAAGUGUGAACAACUUACGUUGUACCACAAUUCUCGCUGUCUAACUGUAAAUCUCCAAGCAGUUCCAUGAACGAUAACAGGCAUAAGAAUGGGUCGUAUGCACCAGGCAUCUACUUUACUUCCAUAGGAGUUAGUUUGCCUACUUUCAGCCAACUCGGCUGUAGAUUCUUUUCCUCUGCGACGGUCUUAAUCUGUCACCCAAUAGGAUAUUUACUGAGUUGUUAACUCAGAAACGUUUUCAACAUUUCUUUCUGUUGUUCCUGCAGCGGGUAACGUUAGUGAGAGUAGUUGACAUCCUGAACUAAAUAUCCAGUGAAUGCUGCGUAUCGAUCAUUAGUAACGCGCAAUCCUGCAGCCUGUCCAGAUACUUUGGAAAUGUGAUAUUGAUUCUGACAGACCUUCCCGUCUAUCCUCGUCGCCAGUUAUAAUGUCUGCUUGACUAUUUUCAAAUAAUGAGACGAAUGACAAACGCUCUAAAAAAAUAUAUUUUCUCUUACUCGUCACACUGCACUACUAAGACUGAAUUUUAAUAUCUAUCGCUAAACCUUUUUGUUAAUUGAUUCUGGCGGGUCAGCAUUUUGAUGGUGUCGUCGUCCACAUUGGUGUGUCUCCUGGCUGGCGUUGAUUCUUCGUGUUGUUGCUAUGUUGCUUUUGGCUGCGUCGGCAGUUGGGUUUUGCGUCGAUCGCGGUGGACGAUCGAUGUGGCUUAUUGGGUGCAAGGGUGGCUCUUCCGUUCGUACUGAGAGCUACCCUGUCUCGUAACGUUCAUAUGACAGCAUAAGGCUGUUUGCAAAUUCUCUCAGUUUUAUCACGACUUUUUUGUUGAUCUUAAAACUUUUAUUCAAUGAUUAAUUAGUAGUUAAUUUUCUUCUUAAGACUUAUGAGUCCGUGGCUCGUUGAGUUUAAAAGAAAAAUGUUUUACUGAGUAAUUUUACAUUAAGAUUCAUUUAUGUUUUUCACAAGGUCUAGCAAUAUUCACUAGACGCAAAAUGGUUUGCACAAAAGUCACUUCCACCAGUAAAGAUGCACGGAAUCACCGGAAAACGAAAAAAGGAACUUUCAAAUUUUCUAUCAGAAAAAUUGCGCAAAGUGAACAAAUUGCGCUGAACAUCGCACCGCUCGCGUUUAUUUACUUUCUGACUUGACAGUACACCCGAACAGUACGCUAAUUUUGUGUCCAGUCAAUUUGGGUAAUAAAAGCAAUUCUUGCACAUGUAACUUUCGGGAGAAAACUAUAUUUCAAUUGGAACGCUAGCUAGUAGAAAUUCUUAUUCUUAAGCUAGUAGAAAUUCUUAUUCUCAUAAGCUUUAAAGACAGUGCCUAAGGCAUGUAGUGUCAAUACAUGUUUUUCUGUUAAUCACCACAAAGAGUCAACCUGACUUGAUUGGUUUCCGAUUGCAAGUAACGGUUUCGGUUUUGUGUUGCCUGAAUAUGUUCGAUGUUUACGGCGGACAGUAGACAUUUAGGAAGAAGAUCUGCAUAUCUUUUAUAGGGAAUAUAGGUUACCAGAAAUUGUUUAUCAUUCACUCUGAUAAAUAAAUAUUGAAAACCAUGGAAUCGUUUAGUAAAUGCAGUCAUAUAACCGCACGGAAUCACCUCUAAACGAAGAUUGAAUUUUUAUGCAACAAAUGAACUUAAUGCUACUCGUGAUGUGCAAUGUACGAGGGACAAUUCCUCUCCUUUGUCUAUCUCUCUUACUUUACUGGCCUUCCUCGGCCUAUCUCUGUGUUACAUUAGGCAUUAGUACAUUAGGCGAUAUCUAUAAAUUACGUAACGCAAAUAAAUCCAAUUUUUGAACCCCACCCGCUAUCUAAGAAAACGUAACCUCCAUAAAAUCUAUGUAAUGCAGUAUAAAAAUUUGCUUAAUGAAAAUGCUCGUUCUUGGAGUAAAAUUUUAGUCUUCCCAGAAAUGUUUCGUUAAGUAACGCUGAUCCCAACACCCCCCUCCCCUGUGUAAAAAUUCAUAACGUACAAGGAUACUUCCUCCGUUACGUAAUUUACGGGUGCAGCCUUUGUUAAUCGUCUUAAUCCUAUUCUCGGUGAUUCUCACACUACGCUGCUCGUCUGGAUCUGUAAACAAUCCGGUAACUCACCGAGAUUACACGGCGUAUCGUUGAUGGUUUUAGUGUCGCCUAGGCCAAGCGGAGGACAUUGACUUCUAAUUGCUUUAAUGCUGAACGAAAAACUGGUUGAAGACAGGUUUCUUUCCUGGGUUCUCGUCCAGCAUCCUAUGCUGUUGGCAUGGGAAGUCUGAUGCAAUUUUCUGCUAUGGAAACAAAUUUUACAUUUCAGAAAAGUUAUUCUACGUGAUUAGUGGACGUCUGGUUUAAAAUUUUGCCACUACUAGCUAGUGAAAUACUAAACGAUUUCGUCAGCCAUAGCUAUUAUUGCCAUUCUAUUCCAUUCUUAAAGCACUUUAAACCACUGUAAUUUAGGUUAAGUUUUAGAAUUAUAGAUUUUUUAGAAUCGCAAUGUUUGUAGAAUCGCACUAUCGAAUCAAAAAAAACUUACAUGUUUCAAUUGUGUUUUAUUAACACCUCAACGCUUUUUGCACAUUUUUCAAGUCGUAAGUGAAAGUCAGUAAAUCGAUCUGGCAUCCCAUGGUAUAUGAAACCCAGCUGCCAAAUAACGAAACUACAACAAUAACUAUGAAAUAUGUGAUUUUCUGCUCUGUCAUUUGAUCUUAGUUACUUUCGUGCAAAACAUUUUGAACCGUGAUAUUAUCACUACGAAAUAUUAUUUUUGCAGACCCUAUUCGAUAGCUUGCAAGUAUAAUACCAAUAUAGUUCACUUAUGUAAGGAGACAUAUAAGGAGAAGUCAAUCGUUUGAGGUUUUCUGGUAGAAUUAAUUUUUAUUUUCCUGAAUAUUGUUACAUGUCUCCUGCUGGAGACGCCUGAAGCCACCGUUCUAUGUAUUUGUAAUCUAUGUGUUAUGUACAUCGAUCAUUUAUCCAUGAUCGAUGUGCAUGCGAAAGGGACAGAGAUAGCAAUUCGAAAAGCCAUCGCUGUACGUGUGGCGCUUGUAUAUUUGAUAAACCGUGAUUAGUAUGAAAUGUUGGUGGUUUGUAUAUAUGUGUUUAUGUGGGUUUCGGUUACUAAAAGAGAACUCGAACCUCUCGAGUGUACGGUCGAUUCAAUAAUGCUUUAUUAUUUCUAUUUCUUAGCCUAUACAGGCCGCACGAUCGCAGAUCGAUACGUGACCUUUAAUGCUGUGCUCAGCAUAAUCGCCGUCACCCGUUCCUCGCGCGGGUGGCGUGAUAGCGUUUAUGCUGAUCACAGUGUUUACACUACUUAAGUCUAUAUUACUUUCCUUUGCUUAUCUUAAAAGGGGCCGUAUCCACCACACGCCCUUUCUUAAUGAAUUUAAAAUAUAGCCUUAAGUUCUAAUUUUUAAAUCUAUAUAAUGUUUGAAUUGAAAUUAGGAAUAAAACAUAUGAAGUGAAAAUCAAUAAUACAAAUUGAAAUUGGUGGAUAAAAAAAAAAUUUAUAGUUUGCAUUUAUAAUUAUUACUCUAAUAUAAUAUAUAAUGAUGGAGAUACAUAUAUAUACAUAUACAUACACAUAUAUAUACAUAUAUAUAUAUAUAUACAUAUAUAUAUAUAUAUAUAAGUAAUGCUCGAAUGGUUACGAGUAUUAUAAAAAAAUAUUUAUUCACGUUUAAGACCGAUUACAAUAGAACGCACGCUUAAGACUGACUCGAUAUUCCUAUCGCUAAACCUUUUAUUAACUAAAUCUACCUAGUCAGCACAACCAAUAUCGUUCGAUGGGUCCUCCACGUUGGUAUGCGUUGGUCGUGUCUACGUUGCCUUCCUGGGUUGUUGCUACGCUGGAUUCUUCCUGGCUCAUCAUUUCUACGGUGCAUCGAUCGUUGCGUCCGAUCGAUGGGGUAAGUUGGCGUUGGUCGUCUCGAUGUAGUUACCCUGGCUGUUGCUACGCUGGUUUCUCCUGGCUCAUCAAUUCCCUGGCGCAUCGGUUGCUGUGGUCGAUCGAUGCGGCGUGUUGGCAUGGUCGGCUGGGCUCGUCUUUUCAUAACGUAUAUAUACACAUACACACACACACACGUACAUAUACAUAUAUUAAAAUCUGUAUAAAAAUGUUUUUGUAUCAAAUGUUUUUAUAUAAAAAUAUUUCUGUAUAAAAUGUUUAUGCAUAAGAAUAACAUUUAUAUAAAAUAUUCAUGGAAAUAAUCAUUAUAAACUACUCUGGUUUCAUCUUCUUAUCUUUCUGAAAAACUGAAUGUAGGUUCUUCUCUCUCUUUUUUUUUUACUUUAAAAAUUCUCUUAUUCUGUCCUUAUGAACUAUGUCUGUAUCUUCAUUAUUUUUAAUUGCUAUCUUUACAUUUGAUCCCAUAUCUUCUAAAAUUUCAUAUGGUCCGUUAUAUUUUGUUUCUAAUUUAGGUCCCUUUUCGGUCUUCACGAGGACCAAUGUUCCUUUUGUAAAAUUUGUGUCUUUGGCGUUUUGAUUAUAUUUUGAAACUCUAUCUGCCUUUACUUUGAGAAGAUUCUCCCUAGCUUCUCUUUGAGAAACUUGUAGCUUGUAUUUCAAAAUACUCGUAUAGUCGUCAAUGUUAUAUAUUGGGUCUGUUUGGUAUUGUCCAGUUAGAUUUGAAGGAAGGGUGCAAAGUCUUCCGAAAAGCAAUUCGAACGGAGUCUUACCUGUUGCACUAUGUACCGUUGUAUUAUAGGCAAAUUUGUAAAACGGUAUCCAGGCAGACCAACUUCCAUAAGAGUUGUUCGUUUGUAUGCGUAGAAAAUUUCCAAGAACUUUAUGCGAAUUUUCCAACGCUCCGAUUGUUUGAUGGUGGUAAGCUGUGGAAUUCAGCUUCUUCACCUGUAAUAGUUUACAUAUUUUUUCAAAUACAGUAGACAUAAAUUCGGCACCUCUAUCUGUUAGAACCUGUGCUGGUACACCAUAAUUCAAAAUGACAUUCUCAACAAACGCUUUGGCCACGGCAUCUGUUGUCUUGUCCAUAAUAGGUGUUGCGGUCACAAAUUUCGUCAGAUCACAUUGAGUAGUCAGUAUAUACUGGUUACCUUCUGCGUCCGGCAAUAAUGGACCUACCAUAUCCAGAAAUAUUUUUUCGAAAGCUUGACUAGCUGUGCUUGUCAGCUGCAUUGGUUGUUUAGUGUAAUGGCUCUUGUUUCUCUGACAAUGUGUACAUCUCUUUAUAAAUGAAACAACAUCGUUAUCUAAGGUUUUCCAAUGAUAUCGUUGUUUUAUAGUAUUAAUUGUUCUUCUUAUUCCUGCAUGCCCUGCAGUUGGCAAUACAUGGAAAUCGUUUAUAAUAAUUUUUUGUUCAUUUCUAUCGUCUAUUUGGCGAGUAUUUCUGCCUAAUAUAAUUAUAGGCGGCAUGCCUUUUAUAUCGAGGACUUCUAUUUUGUCCUUGAAUUUUUUAUUUUCAAUCGUAUUUUUAACGAUUAGGCCUUUUAUUUUGGUUUCUUUGAUAAGAUCCACUAAUCGGUUCAUUACUCCCCGUAGGUGAGUCAAUGUCGUAUUAGGGUCGAUACAAAAAAUACCCUGCUCUAAUUGAGCUUCUAGCGCUUCAUUUUUCUUCAUGGAUCCAAUUUUAAUUUCAAUAUAAUUAUUCGGUGUAUCAAUCUUAACCGAUGUAUCAGACUGUAUUUUCUGUUUCGCGGUUUGACUUCUGGUACAAAUAAAAGCUGUACCUGCUGGUGUUAGAGCCUUAAGAUCUUCGAUCGAAAUACGUGAUAACGCGUCCGCUACUACGUUUUCCGAGCCCUUUUUGUAUAUAACGUCAAACUUAUAUUCCUCUAGAGCCAAACGGAACUUGGUUAAUCGGCUUGAAGGAUCAUUUAGUGUAAAUAAAUAAACUAAUGGGCGAUGGUCUGUAAAAAUUUCAAAUUUCCUGCCAUAUAAAUAUGGUCUGAAAUGGCGUAUUGCCCAUACGACGCCUAAUAACUCCUUCUCGAUAGUGCUGUAAUUCAGUUCAGCUUUAUUCAAAGCCCUACUCGCAAAUGCGAUGGGUCUAGUGUUUUGAUUACUUAAUACUGCUCCUAAAGCCUUUCCCGAUGCAUCUGUGUGCAAGGUAAAAAUAUUACUCUCCGAAAAAUUCGGGUAAUCGAGGACUGGUGGAUUCAUGAAACACUCCUUCAAGUAUUGAAAGGAUCGUUCACACUCCUCUGUCCAUUUAAAAUCUUCAUUUUUUCGAGUUAAUUUAUUUAAAGGACUACAAAGUUUCGCAAAAUCCUUAAUGUGCUUACGGUAAUAGUUCCCAAAAGCAACGAACCUUUUUACCUCAUCUGCGCUUCGUGGACUACUCCAUUGUUUUAUUAUUUCAAUUUUUGAAGGAUCGGGUUUUACUCCUUCUACAGAUACCAAAUGUCCUAAAUACAACAAUUCGGUUUUAAAAAAAUUGCAUUUUUGCGGAUUGAGUUUUAAAUUUGUUUUACGUAAACGUUCGAAAACAUCUGAAAGGUUUCUAUUGUGCUCUUCCAGAGUCUUUCCAAAAACAAUAAUAUCAUCUAAAUAAACAAGACAUCUCUCCAUAUUUAGGCCUGACAUGGCUACGGUCAUUAAUCUUGAAAAUGUUGAAGGACUCACUUUUAAUCCCAUAGGAAGACGUGUCAUUUGAUAUUGUCCUCCGCUGGUACCAAAAGCGGUAAUUGGUCUAUCUUCUGGCUUCAGUUCACAUUGGUAAUAUCCUUGUGAAAGAUCCAAAUGAGAAAAAUAUUUCGCUCCUGCUAGCGACUCAAUCACUUCUUCUAUGUUAGGAAGUGGAAACUUAUCAUCUUGCAAUGCGUUAUUCAAUUUGCGGUAGUCUAUGACCAACCUCCAUUUUCUUUCAUCCUGAGCUGAUUUCUUGGGAACCAGUAAUAAAGGACUAUUCCACUCAGAAAUAGCGUUCCCAAUGAUAUUUUCGCUCAACAUUUUGUCUACUUGUCUCUGUACUUCUUCCUUGUGAGCUUGUGGUAAUUUAUAUGGUCUGGUAUAUACAGGAUGUGUAUCUGGCUUAACAGUAAGCGAGGGUUGAUAAAUUUUCGUCACUGUUAAUUUGUCAUCUUUCAAACAAAAAAUGUCGUUAUAUUUCAUGCACAAUCUUUCUAUCACUGGUCUGUCCUUGUCAUGGAUUUCAGUCAGUUUUAAUUCUGACAAAAGUUCUUUCGUUCUAGCAACAUUAUAUUUUGAUGCACCGUCAAUCUCAAGUAUAUCAUAAUUUUUUAAAGGUUUUGCUUGAGGUUUUAAAUUAUCAACCUUCACAGCUUUAUUUUUUAUGUUCAGUAUCCUAACAGGAAUUUUUCCUUUUUCAGGUUUUACAAUUGCUCCUGCAAUGUAUACUUGUGGUUGUAUCUCCUGAUUUAGAAUAACCAUUUGUUCUGAGAAACAAGUUUCAACAAAAGCAAUCACUUCAGUUCGUGGAGGAAUUAUGAAAUUUUCCUCAAAUCGGGGGAUUCUUAAUGUCAUUUUAGAAUUUUCAAAAUUUAUCUUUGCUCCAAACUUUUUCAAAAAGUUGGUUCCAAUUAAACCUAUGACAUUGGAUGGUAGCUCAUCCAUAAUGUGAAACGUAAUCGGGUACAUGUAGCCAUUAUAUUCUGUAAAAGUAUCUAUUGUACCUAGUGUAGUGGUUACUCCAUUUACACCACUUACUUCAAUUAUCCGUGAUUUGUCAAGAUAUGAAUUUAAGUUUUUCGUUAAAUGACGCUUAUCGAGUAGACAGCAUGAAGCUCCACUGUCCACUACUAAAAGAAAAUUAGUGUUAUCUAUUUUGAAAUUCAAUCUUAGAGCUCUCUCGCCGCUAAAAUUACUCACGAAAAAACUCUCUUACAUUUGCUUCUGCUCGGGGUUGUUGCUCUUGUGGUUCCUCCGCCACAUUUGCAUUUCGUCUCUGGGGAUUAUUAUUAUUGUUGUUUUAUUUAUCGACACUCCAUUGCAGUCAUAGGCUAUAAGAGCACAACGGGUUGCAGUCAGGUGUCUGUACAAGAGAAAUUGUUGUUUUAUUUAUCGACCACAAGUAAUUGAAUAACUACCACGCACAAUAUUAAGAUUAUUUUCGCCUCGUGGUCUGCAUGGAACUCGCUAUGGACAUCCAAGGUGUUUUGUAUAUUCACCUGUGGAUCUCCAUUGUUUUGUACUAAUUUAGAAUUAGUUUUUCCUAUCUUUUUCACUUAGCUCUUGUUGUUUAAAGUCAUUUGUUGAUAGCAAUGUAGAGAAGUGUACAUGGGCACUCACUAUUGUUGGGGUUGAGUAAUAAACCGCAUUGUAGUCAUUUCGAGCACUAUUUUGCAUUCUGUUCGGCACUGUAUUGUUUAGUAAUAAGUAGUAUGCGCGGCAGAUUGGCGGGGGGGGGGGCUGCUCGUUUUUUGGUUGCAAUCACUAAUGCUUCGUUUUGCACUAAGUAGCUGAUAAAAUCAUUUCAACCACAUCGAUUGGUAUAGGCCAAUUACAGUUCAGAAAGGAGCCUCGUGGCGACAUUUGAAACCACGAUUCAGUUUGUGUUUAAUACGCAAAGUACAUAGGUACUAAGCGAUUCACUUAGAUUAUACUCUUAUGAAAAUGCACCGGAAUGAACAUGAAUGAUCACUUUUUGUUUUGUUUUUUUUUUGUCUGUAAUUAACCGAUAAAGCACGGCCUUCACCGUUGAUGACACAAACUGUUUUUCGCCAUGCUUUUAUUUAUUGCUUCACUGAGGCUGAGCGUACAACGCAGUAUUUUCAUUUGCUUCACUAAUUAACUGGACUGGUGUUAAUCUGCAUGAUUGGAGAAGGCGAUUGAUACUGUACUUAACAUGAGCGUACUGUGUACGCUCAUGUUAAGAGUCACCUCACUUACUUACUUUCUUGAAGACACAUCACACAAUCCCACCGCUGUCGCCACUCUAUGUACCGCUUUGUGUCCUGGAUUUUUCGGAUCCUGUACGUGCACCCUGCACAUACAGAACCACUCGAGACUUAAGCGGUAGAUUGGAAGUUUUUUUUACACAAAAGCUUGAAUACUACCCUAUAGGUAACUCAGAGCUCUGGCUAGGCAUCGCGAAGGGCCAAGUAUUUUGCCAAUGUAAAUUGUUUAUCAUUCACUCUGAUAAAUAAAUAUUGAAAACCAUGGAAUCGUUUAGUAAAUGCGGUCAUAUAACCGCACGGAAUCACCUCUAAACGAAGAUUGAAUUUUUAUGCAACAAAUGAACUUAAUGCUACUCGUGAUGUGCAAUGUACGAGGGACAAUUCCUCUCCUUUGUCUAUCUCUCUUACUUUACUGGCCUUCCUCGGCCUAUCUCUGUGUUACAUUAGGCAUUAGUACAUUAGGCGAUAUCUAUAAAUUACGUAACGCAAAUAAAUCCAAUUUUUGAACCCCACCCGCUAUCUAAGAAAACGUAACCUCCAUAAAACCUAUGUAAUGCAGUAUAAAAAUUUGCCAAAUGAAAAUGCUCGUUCUUGGAGUAAAAUUUUAGUCUUCCCAGAAAUGUUUCGUUAAGUAACGCUGAUCCCAACACCCCCCUCCCCUGUGUAAAAAUUCAUAACGUACAAGGAUACCUCCUCCGUUACGUAAUUUACGGGUGCAGCCUUUGUUAAUCGUCUUAAUCCUAUUCUCCUACGAGCGGUGAUUCUCACACUACGCUGCUCGCCGAGAUUACACGGCGUAUCGUUGAUGGUUUUAGUGUCGCCUAGGCCAAGCGGAGGACAUUGACUUCUAAUUGCUUUAAUGCUGAACGAAAAACUGGUUGAAGACAGGUUUUUUUCCUGGGUUCUCGUCCAGCAUCCUAUGCUGUUGGCAUGGGAAGUCUAAUGCAAUUUUCUGCUAUGGAAACAAAUUUUACAUUUCAGAAAAGUUAUUCUACGUGAUUAGUGGACGUCUGGUUUAAAAUUUUGCCACUACUAGCUAGUGAAAUACUAAACGAUUUCGUCAGUCAUAGCUAUUAUUGCCAUUCUAUUCCAUUCUUAAAGCACUUUAAACCACUGUAAUUUAGGUUAAGUUUUAGAAUUAUAGAUUUUAUAGAAUCGCAAUGUUUGUAGAAUCGCACUAUCGAAUCGAAAAAAACUUACAUGUUUCAAUUGUGUUUUAUUAACACCUCAACGCUUUUUGCACAUUUUUCAAGUCGUAAGUGAAAGUCAGUAAAUCGAUCUGGCAUCCCAUGGUAUAUGAAACCCAGCUGCCAAAUAACGGAACUACAACAAUAACUAUGAAAUAUGUGAUUUUCUGCUCUGUCAUUUGAUCUUAGUUACUUUCGUGCAAAACAUUUUGAACCGUGAUAUUAUCACUACGAAAUAUUAUUUUUGCAGACCCUAUUCGAUAGCUUGCAAGUAUAAUACCAAUAUAGUUCACUUAUGUAAGGAGACAUAUAAGGAGAAGUCAAUCGUUUGAGGUUUUCUGGUAGAAUUAAUUUUUAUUUUCCUGAAUAUUGUUACAUGUCUCCUGCUGGAGACGCCUGAAGCCACCGUUCUAUGUAUUUGUGAUCUAUGUGCUAUGUACAUCGAUCAUUUAUCCAUGAUCGAUGUGCAUGCGAAAGGGACAGAGAUAGCAAUUCGAAAAGCCAUCGCUGUACGUGUGGCGCUUGUAUAUUUGAUAAACCGUGAUUAGUAAUUGAAUAACUACCACGCACAAUAUUAAGAUUAUUUUCGCCUCGUGGUCUGCAUGGAACUCGCUAUGGACAUCCAAGGUGUUUUGUAUAUUCACCUGUGGAUCUCCAUUGUUUUGUACUAAUUUAGAAUUAGUUUUUCCCAUCUUUUUCACUUAGCUCUUGUUGUUUAAAGUCAUUUGUUGAUAGCGAUGUAGAGAACGUGUACAUGGGCACUCACCAUUGUUGGGGUUGAGUAAUAAACCGCAUUGUAGUCAUUUCGAGCACUAUUUUGCAUUCUGUUCGGCACUGUAUUGUUUAGUAAUAAACCGCAUUGUAGUCAUUUCGAGCACUAUUUUGCAUUCUGUUCGGCACUGUAUUGUUUAGUAAUAAGUAGUAUGCGCGGCAGAUUGGCGGGGGGGGGGGGCUGCUCGUUUUUUGGUUGCAAUCACUAAUGCUUCGUUUUGCACUAAGUAGCUAAUAAAAUCAUUUCAACCACAUUGAUUGGGAUAGGCCACUUACAGUCCAUAAAGUAGCCUCGUGGCGACAUUUAAAACCACGAUUCAGUUUGUGUUUAAUACGCAAAGUACUUAGGUACUAAGCGAUUCACUUAGAUUAUACUCUUAUGAAAAUGCACCGGAAUAAACAUGAAUGAUCACUUUAUGUUUUGUUUUUUUUUUGUCUGUAAUUAACCGAUGAAGCACGGCCUUCACUGUUGAUGACACAAACUGUUUUUCGCCAUGCUUUUAUUUAUUGCUUCACUGAGGCUGAGCGUACAACGCAGUAUUUUUAUUUGCUUCACUAAUUCACUGGACUGGUGUUAAUCUGCAUGAUUGGAGAAGGCGAUUGAUACUGUACUCAACAUGAGCGUACUGUGUACGCUCAUGUUAAGAGUCACCUCACUUACUUACUUUCUUGAAGACACAUCACACAAUCCCACCGCUGUCACCACUCAAUGUACCGCUUUGUGUCCUGGAUUUUUCGAAUCCUGUACGUGCACCCUGCACAUGCAGAACCACUCGAGACUUAAGCGGUAGAUUGGAAGUUUUUUUUACACAAAAGCUUGAAUACUACCCUAUAGGUAACUCAGAGCUCUGGCUAGGCAUCGCGAAGGGCCAAGUGUUUUGCCAAUGUUUGCAUAGCGGAACUGUUUGUGAUCUUCUUCAUCAGGAACUUUUCCUGCUUGCUUUAACUGUGAAUUGUUUUAGUGGACGACGGCAGAAGGCCGUGUUCCGGUUUACACUCUACCUGUUUUCAUUAAAUUCAACAGAAGGCUUACUUUCUUCCGGACCGUACCGUCUGACAAAUUCCUACGUGAGGGAACAUUGGGACACUCACACUAAUAGUGGCAGAAAAGCUAGCGCCACUCCUAAUUUAUUUCGUUCGGCAUUUGAUGAAAGCUUUCUAACUUGAUACAUUUUUCACUUUCUACUUACUAAAGCGCAGCUAGCAAUGAAACGAAUUCUCAUAUUUUUCGCAAGGUUUUCCAUACGAACGAAUCGGAAAAAGAAUGAUGAACUAAUUUCGAGCUUCGAAGAAACUUUAGCUAGUUUUCAUAAAAGCGAAAUAUUAACAUUAACCCUCUAGUUCCCAGUGCCGCCUUUAGACGGUCUUCAGUUGAACCUCUAAAAAGCUUCAAUAAGAACUUAAAAAAUGUUUAUAAAGCUUCAUAGCGAUUUUUUCGAAGUCCGUCUAAAAAUUAAUUUGGGCACUAGAGGAUUGGCAUGAUCUAUUUGAAGGCAACUUAAAGAGUUUUGAUAAGUUUCAUGGCAUAUCAAGUUGUUUUAUUAUUCAAUCUAAUUAUAAGGAAUAAGCUUAAUUUCUCAAUUAUGAGACCCUAGAUUAAAACUAUACGUGAAAUAUGGUGAAAAUCAUAUGUAACUAAGAAGUGAUUGUACAAUAACCAAUCCUAGUGCGAGUAAAUUAACGAGAUUUAGAAUAGAUUUAUGUAAAAUAAAAGUAUGAUAACAAACCUUAAA